rnacentral:rRNA from 1 species
UACGAAGGGGGGCUAGCGUUGUUCGGAAUUACUGGGCGUAAAGCGUGCGCAGGCGGCUUCUCAAGUCAGGGGUGAAAGCCCAGAGCUCAACUCUGGAAUUGCCUUUGAGACUGAGUGGCUUGAGUACGAGAGAGGUGAGUGGAAUUCCCAGUGUAGAGGUGAAAUUCGUAGAUAUUCGGAAGAACACCAGUGGCGAAGGCGGCUCACUGGACUGGUAUUGACGCUGAGGUGCGAAAAGCGUGGGGAGCAAACAGG